rnacentral:lncRNA from 1 species
ACACUUCUAAAAAGAAGACAUUUAUGCAGCCAACAGGCACAUGAAAAAAUGCUCAUCAUCACUGCAUCAGAGAAACGCAAAUCAAAACCUCAAUGAGGUACCAUCUUAUACCAGUUAGAAUGGCGAUCAUUAAAUAGUCAGGAAACAACAGGUGCUGGAGAGGAUGUGGAGAAAUAGGAACACUUUUACACUGUUGGUGGGACUGUAAACUAGUUCAACCAUUGUGGAAGACAGUGUGGUGAUUCCUCAAAGAUCUAGAACUAGAAAUACCAUUUGAACCAGCCAUCCCAUUACUGGGUAUAUACCCAAAGGAUUACAAAUCAUGCCGCUAUAAAGACAAUAACUACACUAUUUUGCCCCUGGACCUAAGGAAUUAUACCAUAAAGAAAUACAGAGCUCACUCUACAGGUCAAAGGGAAUGAGCAAAGACAGAUUCUGCCUGAUUCACCUUCCCUUGUCAGGGCCAAGAAAACCUACAGUGACUGCUGUCAGCACCAGGUGACAUGUGAGACAUAUGUCUAAUUAAAACAAAACAUAUCUUUUAAACUCAGCACACAAUUCUCUUCGCAGGUUCUAAAUAUAGCUGGGCAAGGCUUCGGAUUUUAGUGGGAGAUGGCCAGAGGCGAAGCAACUGAUAAAAGUAGCUGAAUAGCUCUCCCUCUCUGAGCUAGGUGCAAGCUCCUGACGUAGGAAGCGAUCCCUCCUUGCCACAGAUAACCCACGUAGCCAGGUGCUGCCAAGCAGCUUCCACCUGGAGGAGGGCAGCUGCUCUGCGCAUGACCAGUAGCUGUGGAUGGCAUCGUCGAGGCAUCUGGAGGAAGCUGCAGCCCCACAAGGCCCCUGACCCCUCUGCCUUUCCCUCUGCUGGCUCCUCUUCCUCCCUCUUUCCCUGCUGUCCCCUGUAGAGAACUUUCUACCAGUCCACACACCAACCUAGGUGCAGCCCCCCUGCGUGACUCCCUCCCUGACUAUCAUAACCAUGGCCAGCAGUAUCUCCACAUCUCUGCCCAGAUCCCCCUGGGAAGGCUUAUCCCAGGCCCCAGGUUUGGGGCAAUGCCCAGUGGCAUCGGAUGGGGUCCCCCUUGAAAGGAAGCACAGAAAGACUGAGCCAUCAACGUAGUCCCCUCCAUCACCUGCCACUGUCCCCAAAAUCUCCCACACCGGAAGUGUUUAGAUUGUCUAAGGACAAUAUUGUCUAGGGUUUGAGGACCACCCCACAGCAAAAACACUAGAAAGCUAGUUCCAAAAUGCAAAUCCCAGGCCAAGCCCCUCACCUCCUGAGGCAGCAUCCCUGGGUAUAGAUCUCAGAAAUCUGCAGUUUUAAUACAAAGGCCCCCUAAACUUAAAGAAACAGCCUGAAUUCACAUGGGCACACCUUACCUGAGCAGGCAAUACAGUGACAAGGGUGGAAACAGAGGGGACGAGACCUGACACUGGGAAGGCCUGACAGAGGGAAGGAAGGAAAGCUCUCAGGCUAAGGGCGCUGGGAACCCCACUCUUCCCUCUAGGGAGUUGCCGUUCCCUGAGGGGCCUGAGGAGCCUCCUCCUGAAGCCCCAGCUAUUCAAAUUACACCUUUUCUUAUUAGGACAUCAGGAGGUGUUGCCCCUUAGCUUUCCAUUCUAACCUCCUCAAUGUAGGGGCCUUGCUGGUGUCGAGGACAGAGCGGAGGCCUCAAGGGUAUGUGCAGUCUAGGUGGCCUUGGUGGAGGGGCAGGAUUCUACAUUUGGGAGGGGACUUCUUGCUGAACUCCUUCCAGAUGGGUCAAAUGGGGUAGACUGAGGGAGUGGUGUGGGAGGUGGUAAAGAACCAAGUAGGGACUGGAUGGAUCCUGGGAGUUUACAGGGCUGCCUCGGAGAGGGAGGGUGCUGAGAGAGAGGAGACCAGGGUGGGCACCAACGCGAUCCCUGCAGGCUAUGAGUGUAGGAUCAGAGAGGGUUAAGGGCCAGAAGCCCCUGUGUGUUUAGGACUGUGGCACCAUGGGUGCAUCCCCUGAGAAGCGAAGCUCAGGCAGGAGCAGCAGUGGGCAAAGAGCCUGGUGGUGCAGGUGCAGGCCCUGUAGAGGAGGCAGUGACAACACCCAGCCCAGGCCGACUCUCUCUGCCUGUCCCCUGAGUCCCCUGGCACCUCUCCACAUCUGCUCAGCCCUCCCAGUUAACCUAGCACUGGUAGAUGGUUGAUAUGAUUUGGAUCUGUGUCCCCAAAUCUCAUGUUGAAUUCUAAUCCCCAGUGUUGGAGGUGGGGCCUGGUGGGAGGUGAUUGGAUCAUGGGGGUGAAUCCUUCAUGAAUGGCUUAGCUUUAUCCCCUUAAUGCUGUUCUUGUGGUAGUGAGGGAAUUCUUGCAAUAUCUGGUUGUUUAAAAGUGUGUAGCACUUCCCCCCCAACACUCUUUUGUUCCUGUUCCAACUGUGUGAAGUGCUCACUCCCCCUUUGCCUUCUGCUAUGACUGUUAAGUUUCCUGAGGCCUUCCCAGAAGCUGAGCAGGUGUCAGCAUCAUGCUUUCUG